AUUGAACGCUGGCGGCAUGCCUAACACAUGCAAGUCGAACGAGUGGCGGACGGGUGAGUAAUGUCUGGGAAACUGCCUGAUGGAGCGGGAUAACUACUGGAAAAGGUAGCUAAUACCGCAUACCAUCGGUUGUGCCCAGAUGGGAUUAGCUAGUCGGGGGGGUAAAGGCACACCUAGGCGACGAUCCCUAGCUGGCCUGAGAGGAUGACCGGCCACACUGGAACUGAGACACGGUCCAGACUCCUACGGGAGGCAGCAGUGGGGAAUAUUCGACAAUGGGCGAAAGUCUGACCGAGCCAUGCCGCGUGAGUGAAGAAGGUUUUCGGAUUGUAAAGCACUGUUAGUAGGGAGGCGGUACCAACAGAAAAAGCAACGGCUAACUACGUGCCAGCAGCCGCGGUAAUAC
rnacentral:rRNA from 1 species